GAUGCGGCCGCUGCGGGAAUCAGUUUGGGCAUCCUCACAGGGCUAAAAAUAACCCUACCAUGUGACCGAGCUUUCUCGCUCUUUGGCAUAGACCCAAAGCACUUGAUAUCCUGCUCCACAGAUGUCUCCUCAACCACAUUCAUCCCUGCUCUGCUAACAGCAACCUAAAUGCCCUUCAGUGAUGUCGUAUAGAUACAGUACGGAAGACUACUCAGCCGUAAAGGAAAAUGAAAUCAUGAACUUUGCAAGUAAAUUGAUGCAACCAGAAAAGAUCGUACUGAGCGAGACCCAGCCCAGAAAGACAAAAUCGACUGUUCUCUCUCUUCUGUGACCUUUAGCUCAGUAUCUUCAGAGGUGGAAGGUUAGUCCCUAUUGCUAAAGAUGCCAUGUAGUUCAGACACAGAGCAGGGGCCUCUGAGCUGCAGCUGACUGCAAAGCCUCCUCCUUGAGGAGCAGAAGGCACCAUGAAGCUUCCGAAGGAGGGUAGCAGCCCACAGUCCUACCAACUAUGACGCCUAUAAACCGCAAUGCCAACCAGCACAGCACGAUAACACCACAGGCACAGCAGUGGCACAGGCUUACCAACAGCUCUCUAAUUGGACUUAAGACCAGCGCAACAAGAGAAACCACGCCUAGCCCUGGAAACCAAGCCAAGUACCCAGGGCUAGUGAAGUCGUGGGUAUUGGAGGAGAAUCUACUUCUUCUAUGUUACUAAGCCAGCAGAAUCCAUAACUACACUCUAACUGUUCAUCCUGAGAUCUAUAGAUAACUGUAGUCCUCACCCCUCAUCAAGAAUAUUUUUCUUUGCAACAAAGACCACUACAGAAAACCACAACCGAUCAAACUGCAGAGUUGUGAAGCCCAGUCCUAACUCAUACAUCUACCAAAGACUCCUGCACCGAAGACGCAGGGAUCAGCUUGGAAGAGGAGGUGCAAAGCUGCUGUGGUGGUUUGAAUAGGUUUGGUCCCCAGAGACUCAUGUGUUUGAAGCUUGGCCCAUGCGGAGUGGGGCUAUUAAGAGAUCAAGAUGCAGAACUCUCAGCUCCUUCUCCAGCACCACAUGGCCUGCACGCUGCCAUGCUCCCCACCAUGACAACAGUGGACUAAACCUCUGAAACCGUAAGCCAGCCCCAGUUAAACGCUUUCCUUUGUAAGAGUUGCCUUGGUGUUGGUGUCUCUUCAUAGCACUGAACCCAACAUAAGACAGAUUGUAAGAGCCAAAAAGGAUCAAGGAGUUUUGAAUUUUCUGUGGAUAGAGGGUGGGGGAAAGUCAGGAGGCCUCAGCCCUACACAGUGUGACAUUUCUGGGCUGGGAAGAGCACCACCCCCUGAAAGUAACUCCUCAUCUGACCUCUGUAAGGAAGUGUAAUAAACUCACUAGUUU